rnacentral:rRNA from 1 species
AGUGAACGCUGACGGUAGGCCUAACACAUGCAAGUCGAACGGCAGCACAGUAAGAGCUUGCUCUUACGGGUGGCGAGUGGCGGACGGGUGAGGAAUACAUCGGAAUCUACUUUUUCGUGGGGGAUAACGUAGGGAAACUUACGCUAAUACCGCAUACGACCUACGGGUGAAAGCAGGGGAUCUUCGGACCUUGUGCGAUUGAAUGAGCCGAUGUCGGAUUAGCUAGUUGGCGGGGUAAAGGCCCACCAAGGCGACGAUCCGUAGCUGGUCUGAGAGGAUGAUCAGCCACACUGGAACUGAGACACGGUCCAGACUCCUACGGGAGGCAGCAGUGGGGAAUAUUGGACAAUGGGCGCAAGCCUGAUCCAGCCAUACCGCGUGGGUGAAGAAGGCCUUCGGGUUGUAAAGCCCUUUUGUUGGGAAAGAAAAGCAGCAGGUUAAUACCCCGCUGUUCUGACGGUACCCAAAGAAUAAGCACCGGCUAACUUCGUG